CGCUGUUUACAAGUGAGGAGGAGGAAGGCUGUACAGUAUCUUGGUUGAUUUUGGUUUAGAUCUGUUUUUAUCUGUUUCUUUACUCACAAUGAUGUGUUUGUGUGUUUAUCCUGGAUGUCUCAACCAAGUGGAGAACGUGAGAGUACCUCGGUAUCCAUGGCAAUGAGAAAGCAUCACAAGAGAGACCGCUUGGACUCCACCAUCUCCUGAAGCAUUGGAUUAUAGUUAAAAACUAGGCUGGGGUCAGAGUGCAGGGUCAGCCAUGAUAUGGCACCCCUGGAGCAGAUAGGGUCAAGGGCCUUGCUCAGGGGCCCAACAGUGGCAUCUUGGUGGUGCUGGGGCUUGAACCCCUGACCUUCUGAUCAGUAACCCAGAGCCUUAACUGCUGAGCUACCACUGCCCCCACUGUUAAGGACCUACUGAGCUAAGAAAUGUUUCUUUUUUUCUUCAAAUGUUUUCUGGUGAAGAAAGAAAGUCAUACCAAAGUCUUUCUAGCAAGUCAGUCUGCUGCCAUCAUUGGAAAGCUCUCGGGAGGCUAUUUCCAGUCAAGACAGUGCAGCUCCCAUCUACUUGAAUGGAGAAAGACCAAAAUCUCUAAAACGAUUGGUCAAGAUUACGAUCAAAGAAUAUUUCAAAUCAGCAAUAAAAUCUGACAAUACUUGCA